rnacentral:rRNA from 1 species
GAUGAACGCUGGCGGCGUGCCUAAUACAUGCAAGUCGAGCGAACAGACGAGGAGCUUGCUCCUCUGACGUUAGCGGCGGACGGGUGAGUAACACGUGGAUAACCUACCUAUAAGACUGGGAUAACUUCGGGAAACCGGAGCUAAUACCGGAUAAUAUAUUGAACCGCAUGGUUCAAUAGUGAAAGACGGUUUUGCUGUCACUUAUAGAUGGAUCCGCGCCGCAUUAGCUAGUUGGUAAGGUAACGGCUUACCAAGGCUACGAUGCGUAGCCGACCUGAGAGGGUGAUCGGCCACCCUGGAACUAGACCACGGUCCAGACUCCUACGGGAGGCAGCAGUAGGGAAUCUUCCGCAAUGGGCGAAAGCCUGACGGAGCAACGCCGCGUGAGUGAUGAAGGUCUUCGGAUCGUAAAACUCUGUUAUUAGGGAAGAACAAAUGUGUAAGUAACUAUGCACGUCUUGACGGUACCUAAUCAGAAAGCCACGGCUAACUACGUG